GCGUACGUGGUGUAACGGUAGCACACUCAGUGCGCAUUCGAGAGGUCCAGGUUCGAAUCCCGGCGAGAGCA
rnacentral:tRNA from 1 species